UGAGGAAUAUUGCACAAUGGGCGGAAGCCUGAUGCAGCAACGCCGCGUGAGGGACGAAGGCCUUCGGGUCGUAAACCUCUUCUCUGUGGGACGAGACAAGGACGGUACCACAGGAAUCAGUCUCGGCUAACUACGUGCCAGCAGCCGCGGUAAAACGUAGGAGGCGAGCGUUAUCCGGAUUUACUGGGCGUAAAGCGCACGCAGGCGGCUUGGUAAGUUGGACGUGAAAGCUCCUGGCUUAACUGGGAGAGGCCGUUCGAAACUGCCGGGCUUGAGGUUGGGAGAGGGGUGUGGAAUUCCCGGUGUAGUGGUGGAAUGCGUAGAUAUCGGGAGGAACACCAGUGGCGAAGGCGGCACCCUGGCCCACACCUGACGCUGAGGUGCGAAAGCGUGGGGAGCAAACAGG
rnacentral:rRNA from 1 species